UUGAAUUGCAGAGCCACAACCC
rnacentral:piRNA from 1 species